CCGAGAAGGACAGCAUCUAAAGACGUCUCGUCACUGGCCCCAUAUCGCUGCCUGUGGAGGCUGGCAUCAGGGCCAGCUGAUGUCACAGCAGAUCUGAGGCAGCUGUAGUCAUAGAAGCGCAGAAAUGCAGCUCAGCACUGCACCUACAGUGGGUCGCAGGAGGAGAGGAAAUCCGGACAGCCAAGGUCUGCUAGGUGUGCUGAGUGUGUGUGCUACGUUACUGCAGUUAUGCACUGGCUGUCCUUCAGAGUGUGUGUGUAACUCACUGGAAGCUAACUGCAGUGGGCGGAGUCUAGUAUUUGUGCCCGCUCUCACUUCUCUCCCGGAGGGCACACAUACCCUCCUUCUGGCCAAUAACCGCCUCUCCUCCCUUCCCGUCUCUGCCUUCGCCAACCUAAGCACCCUGGAGACACUCGACCUGUCCAAUAACUAUUUGGACAACCUGCCUUCCAGACUGUUCCGUGAGCUGAGUAACCUGAGUGAUUUGAGUUUGCGUAACAACAGCCUGACGGUUUUGGAUCGCGAGUUAUUUCGCGGCCUGACCCUGCUGCGGAGACUGGAUCUGUCUCUGAACGGCUUGGCCGCUGUGCCGCUGGGCCUGCUGGAUGAGCUGCAAGGGCUGACUUGGCUCUCCUUGGCUGGGAACAGACUUCAUGCUCUGGAGAGAGCCACAUUUGAGCCUCUCGUCAACCUUCAGCACCUGGAGCUGGGCAUGAACCCCUGGGAGUGUGACUGCAACCUGAGAGACUUCAAACACUGGAUGGAGUGGCUAAUAUAUCGAGGCGGUUAUGUCGAUGCCGUUGAGUGUACACUUCCGAAGGACUUAAGGGGUCGUGACAUCAGGGGUGUUCCUGUGGAGAUGUUCAACUACUGUCUGCAAUUGGAAGAUGAGAAUGGGGGCGGGGCUGGGAGCACAAAGAGUGGAUCUCCACCUUGUUUUCGAGGGACAGCCGCUCCGUCAUCUGAUGGUGCAGUGGUGCGUACGCAGGCGGAGCUACCAGACUGUGUGAAGCAGCGUUAUCGGCCGGUCAGUGUUCGCAGGGCGAUCGGUACAGUAGUGAUCGCUGGUGUGGUCUGUGGAAUCGUGUGUAUUAUGAUGGUGGCUGCCGCAGCGUAUGGUUGCAUUUAUGCCUCUCUAAUGGCAAAAUACCAACGAGAGCUAAAGAAGAGGCAGCCGUUGAUGGGUGACGCAGAGGCAGAAGCCAACCCGGAGGAGAAACAUAUCUCAUCAGUUGCAUAGGGGAAUGGGGGAGAGGGGUCAGAGUUCAGAGGUCAGCCACAAAUCUAAAGAACCCUUUACUGGUUGAGCUGCUCAUUUGAUGAUCAUUUAGCUGACCAGCGGAGGAUUCAUCAUCCCUGUUUCCUGUCUCUCUGUCCUUCCUGAGACCCUCUCUAACUCUCAGACUUACACUUUACUUAAUCUAUAAACUUUGGCCUAUGACCUUUGACCUAUUUGCCCCAGGACAAGAGGGACCACUCAGCACUUUAGAACUCCCCCACCCUCCUCCAGUGUUGAGAGGAUCUCAGCAGAGGAGAGGUCAGACGUGUUUUUGUAAGACUAGAAGAAUCCAGCCCUGGUGUCUAUCGUGAAGUGUCUUGAAGUAUCGUGAAGUGCUAAUGUAGAGCAGGCUGAGGACUCUGUGAUGUUAGUGGAGGGUGGCAGAUUGUGGCUAUUGGAACUGUUAAUUACACCUUGGUGGCUAAAGAAGCACAGUGGCCCUACAGGAUAGCUGCCCUCUAAACAAAUCCAGAAAGACAAUAGCUGAGGAGGAAAUAAACCUUACCUUUAUUAAGAUAGACUUUUCUGUGCAAUAUAAAUCAAUGUCUUUGUUGAUCUGUUGUUUAAUUCUGGACUAGGAUGUCAUAUCUGAUUUAGUCUGAUCUUUUCUCUUGGGCUGGCGAUGGAAGAGAAUCGAUUGCGCCUGUGUGAUCAAUUUUCUGCUUGUGGACCAAUUUGCAUAAUCCGCUUUUCCUUGAGGGCAGAAGUUGUUUAGACUAAAUAAUUCAGAUAAAUUUGACUUGGGCUUUCAGAAGCCCACAGAUAUUCUCAAUAUAAGCUUUUCUGCAGCAAUCAACCUCAGCGACUGGAUGAAAAAAGGAAAAGGGAAAGAAAGGCUGUCAAAAACUAGCUGCACAUUGGUAACAUGAACCAACAUACUCAUUUCCUCAGUAUUACUGAAAUUUUAGAGUCCGAAUAUAAUGUUGCUAAUAAAGUCAAGAGUAACGUCAUCAUUGGGUGUCUUGCACAAUGCUGCCAUCUAUAGGAAGGAUGUGCAGUAGGCACAAGGGUGUGGAGCAAAUAUCACACCACCUCGUCAGGAUUUAGGAGAUGCUCUUCCGCUGUAACUAUAGCAACAGUCUUUCCCACACUCUAUUCAUUACCAAUGCAAAUUACUGGUAAGUUUGCUAGCAAAAAGUUGUAAAUCAAAGUACAACUAAUUUGUGUGCUAAUACCCACACCAGCAGUUAAGCGUCCAGGACUUUGUCUCUGUGUUCAGUGAUAUUUGCAGCCAUAAGCUGAGUAUAUAUAAGUACAGAUAUACAUUUAUUCAAAAGUAUGUUGAAUAUAUGUAUAUAUAUUUUAAUCUGUGUCUUACAAAUUAUUUAUGAACAAUAACUUGAUUGCAAAAAUUGAGUAUACUUUUCCCUGCGUUUCCUGUGCAAACUCCUUUUGUAGAGGAACUCUUAAAAAUUCUCUGUCAGAGAAUUCAGAGAAAACUCAUGAAUUAUUAAUGAGAGGAGUUUCGUCUAAUGGUUGCGGUCUCUCCUGCCAUUACUGUUCAUUUAGCUCUUAUUUUAUACAGCAUGUGUCAAAGGCCUGUACUCUGCACGGGGCGACAAAACACAUACCCUGUAUCCUCUGUUAUGAAAAGAAAAGAAAAAAAAAAGACAAAAGCACCUUUGCCACUGGUGGACUAAUACUUUCCUGUCAAAUUGCACUUAUUGCGAAUAUUCUCAAAGGUGAGCACAUGCUUGUUUAUUGACGAUGUCAGCAAUGCGCUUAAUCUGAAUAUAAGCCGACAGAGCAGUCGUGAUGUCAGUAAUGUCAGUGAAUAUGAAGGGCGGUUUAUGAAUGAGCAAUGACUCAGCUGGGGUGUGUUUACUCUGUCCUGGCCUUACAUAUAAGAGCAGGGACACCAAACAAACUUCACUACGCACCCUUGCUAAAUAAAGGCUUUGUAAAUCCCAGUUGAUGGAUGAAAGUAAAGGAUUUGCCCAUUUGACUGAGCUGAAAGCAUCUUCAAGAUCGUUAUGAAGGUCUGGUUUAAUAUCUUAUAGCUUAUUGAUGUGACCCUUUCUUCACUUGACCUUUUUUCUAAGACUGAUAUGAGAUCCCUCUUUAUAUUUUCGCUUGAUAAAAAUCAGUUUGAAAUAUGAUUUGUGAGCUGUGAUAUAAUUCUGUGUUAAAAAUGAAUAAAGAAUGUAUUUCCGUAAUUGUUGAAGUGUAAGAUUCAGCAAGCACUCACACACAGUUUGCUCAAAGUAAAAUAAUCAAAUAUGCGUAUGUUUUAGUUUUUACACAAAACGGAGAAAGAUCAGGAUUCAAAAUCUGGAUCAAAAAUGGAUAAACCAAUGGGUCAAGCAUUGGCUGAUUAGCAUAGUCUAGUUAGCCCCUGCUAGUAGAUAAUAAAACACCAUUAUGGAGGUAUAAUGCAUUUUUGACUGGCAUUUGACAUUGGCAUUUUUUUAACACUUAAAAGCAUGAAAUAGUCCAACUGCAGUGACUUCCUGAUUUUUUUUUUUCCUGAUCUUUUGCUUAUAUAGUGCAUUAAUACAAGUAAUCAGUUUUGAGUGUCUUUAUAGCCCCUUUCACACAGUAAUACCAGUAAAUUGCCGUAAAAUUACUGGAACAACUUUACCGGUAAAUAAAAAAAUGCGCUUUUCACACAGACAAUGGCGUUCAGUGUUUUUACCGGUAAAGCACCAUUCACACAUUGGUUUCAAAUUACCAGUUCUGUGACAUCAUUAACCAGAAAUGACCCAAACGGCUGCGCUUCCCGGUGUUGUGUUUGUAAACAUGGAAUGGUAUACGCCAGUUGUUCACAACCCUGGUCCCGGACUGGUGUGUCAGAGAAAGGAGACAUGCAAAAUGUGCAGUGUUGGGG